rnacentral:lncRNA from 1 species
CCUUCUUCUAAAGUCUGCUCUGUCUGAAAUUAAUCUAGCUACCUCAGCUUUCUUUUGAUUAGUAUUAGCAAGGUAUGUCUUUCUCUAUCCCUUUUCUUUUCAUCUGUGUCUUUAUAUUUAAAGUGAGUUUCUUAAAUAACAGCGUAUAGUUGGUCUUGUUUGUUUUUAUUCUGGUGUAUAGUAUUUGUAUUUAAUUGAUACAUUCAUACCACUUACAUUUUGACAUAGUUGGAUUGAUAUCUAUUAUUCUUGUAACUGUUUUACAGUUGAUGUAUUUAUUCAUUAUUUGUUUUUAACCUGUCCCUCUUUUUCUUUCUUCUCUGGUUUGUCUUUUUGUUUGUUGUGCUGGGGAAGGAUGCCAGGGCCUACACUUUCAGUGAUCCAUCCCAUAAAGGCAUGUUUCAUUUCUGUUAAAAGUUUUUAAUUUCUAGCAUUUGCUUCUGGUUCACUGAGUUUGCAUAUCUCUGCUUAUAUUUCUCAUUUAUUUUUGCAUGUCAUGUACCUUCUCCUUUAAACCCCUAAACAUAAUGAUCAUAGUUAAACUCUUUAUCUGAUAAUUCUAAAAUCCUUGCUGUGUCAGAGUCAGGUUCUGAUGCUUCCUUUCUCUCUUCCCACUUUUUGUUGCCUUUUAGCAUACCUUGUAAUUUUUUGUUGAAAGUCAGAUGUGAUGUAUCAGGUGAUAAAAACCAAGAUGAUUAGGCUGUUACUGUGAGGAUUUAUGUUGGUCUGGCUGGGAGCUGGCCUGGGUUCAAUGUUUGCUACAGCUAUAGCUGCCAGAGACUUCCUCUGAUUCCCUUGUUUUCUUCUUGUUGUCCUUGGGUUACCCUAAGAACUCCUUCUUAAAUAGAGUUCUUGCCUAGUAGCUCUCUCAGUUGUAACCCUCUGUACUGGAGCCCUGUUGAUAUGGCAUGAGGGAGUGGAGGUGUUCUCUAAUCUUAUGAUUAAAUCUCAGUUGUUUAGCAGCCCUGAGUCCCUGGGCUGUGACCUUCAGAGGAGAUCCUCAGUCUUAUUUUUCCUUGCUUUACCUGAGACAGGAAGGCAAGAGAGGCUAGUGUUGGCUAAUUUCCAUUCCUCCAAAUGAGAUAAGACUCUGAUAAACCAAUUUUCCUUAGAAGGCAGGCCUUUUAACAAAGGAAAACUGAGUGUUUUUCAAAAUGGAAAAGAUUUUUUUCCACCUUCC